GGUUUCUCUCACUCUGCGUUUUGGAUAGAAUCAAUUUCUGGUACUGUUUUUCAAUCAUCUUCAUCUGAGCUUCGAAUUAGGUUCUUCUGAGUUUCGAAUUAGGUCAUCUGAGCUUCGAACCAAGGUAUUUGAGCUUCGAAUUAGGUUUAUCUCAGAUUCGAACAAGGGUUAACAUGUCUGACGUUGCUCCCA